GGGUUGUGAGGUUAAGCGACUAAGCGUACACGGUGGAUGCCCUGGCAGUCAGAGGCGAUGAAGGGCGUGCUAAUCUGCGAUAAGCGCCGGUAAGGUGAUAUGAACCGUUAUAACCGGCGAUACCCGAAUGGGGAAACCCAGUGUGACUCGUCACACUAUCAUUAACUGAAUCCAUAGGUUAAUGAGGCGAACCGGGGGAACUGAAACAUCUAAGUACCCCGAGGAAAAGAAAUCAACCGAGAUUCCCCCAGUAGCGGCGAGCGAACGGGGAGGAGCCCAGAUCCUGAAUCAGCAUGUGUGUUAGUGGAAGCGUCUGGAAAGGCGCGCGAUACAGGGUGACAGCCCCGUACACAAAAGCGCAUGUGCUGUGAGCUCGAUGAGUAGGGCGGGACACGUGGUAUCCUGUCUGAAUAUGGGGGGACCAUCCUCCAAGGCUAAAUACUCCUGACUGACCGAUAGUGAACCAGUACCGUGAGGGAAAGGCGAAAAGAACCCCGGCGAGGGGAGUGAAAAAGAACCUGAAACCGUGUACGUACAAGCAGUGGGAGCACAGGUUUACCUGUGUGACUGCGUACCUUUUGUAUAAUGGGUCAGCGACUUAUAUUCUGUAGCAAGGUUAACCGUAUAGGGGAGCCGUAGGGAAACCGAGUCUUAAC
rnacentral:rRNA from 1 species